rnacentral:rRNA from 1 species
GACGGGGGGCAAGUGUUCCUCGGAAUGACUGGGCGUAAAGUGCACGUAGGCGGUGAAUCGGGUUGAAAGUGAAAGUCGCCAAAAAGUGGCGGAAUGCUCUCGAAACCAAUUCACUUGAGUGAGACAGAGGAGAGUGGAAUUUCGUGUGUAGGGGUGAAAUCCGUAGAUCUAUGAAGGAACGCCAAAAGCGAAGGCAGCUCUCUAGGUCCCUACCGACGCUGGGGUGCGAAAGCAUGGGGAGCGAACAGG